AUGGGAAACCCUGUUGAUGCACCUAAACCCUAUCAAUGGAUAUGGAAAUCAUGCUCUUUACCAAAGCAGAAAUUCUUCUUCUGGCUCUUGUUACAAGACAGAUUAAACACUAGAGAUCUACUAAAAAGGAAGAAUUUCUACAUUGAGACUAGUAAGUGUGAAUUAUGUGAUGAUGAACCUAAUGAACAUUUAAUGCAUCUGUUUUUUAGCUGUGAUUUUAGUCAAAACUUCUGGAUGAACAUUGGCUACCAAUGGAACACUGAUCAUAACCUCAUAGAAAUGCUCCUGGAGGGAAGGAAGCAAGAUACACAUGGAUGCUUUAAAGAAUGUCUGAUUGCUGGAUGCUGGAGUCUAUGGAAACACAGAAAUAGCAUAAUUUUUGACAACAAGGUCAAAAAUAUGACAUUCUGUAUUGCCACUUUCAAGGAGCACUUUUGCAUGAUUAUAAAGAAGGCAAAACCAGGAUUGAAAGAGGGCAUGCAAAGCUGGCUAGAUCAUUUGUAG
rnacentral:rRNA from 1 species